rnacentral:rRNA from 1 species
GACGUAGGGUGCGAGCGUUGUCCGGAUUUAUUGGGCGUAAAGAGCUCAUAGGCGGCUCGUCGCGUCGACCGUGAAAACCCGCGGCUUAACUGCGGGCUUGCGGUUGAUACGGGCGGGCUAGAGUUCGGUAGGGGAGACUGGAAUUCCUGGUGUAGCGGUGAAAUGCGCAGAUAUCAGGAGGAACACCGGUGGCGAAGGCGGGUCUCUGGGCCGAUACUGACGCUGAGGAGCGAAAGCGUGGGGAGCGAACAGG